rnacentral:rRNA from 1 species
UACGGGGGGGGGCAAGCGUUGUUCGGAAUUACUGGGCGUAAAGGGCCCGUAGGCGGCCAACUAAGUCAGACGUGAAACCCCUCGGCUUAACCGGGGAACUGCAUCUGAUACUGGAUGGCUUGAGUUCGGGAGAGGGAUGCGGAAUUCCAGGUGUAGCGGUGAAAUGCGUAGAUAUCUGGAGGAACACCGGUGGCGAAGGCGGCAUCCUGGACCGACACUGACGCUGAGGAGCGAAAGCCAGGGGAGCAAACGGG